CGGGCCCGAGUUGUAAUUUGUAGAGGAUACUUUUGAUGCGGUGCCUUCCGAGUUCCCUGGAACGGGACGCCAUAGAGGGUGAGAGCCCCGUCUGGUUGGAUGCCAAAUCUCUGUAAAGUUCCUUCGACGAGUCGAGUAGUUUGGGAAUGCUGCUCUAAAUGGGAGGUAUAUGUCUUCUAAAGCUAAAUACCGGCCAGAGACCGAUAGCGCACAAGUAGAGUGAUCGAAAGAUGAAAAGCACUUUGAAAAGAGAGUUAAAAAGUACGUGAAAUUGUUGAAAGGGAAGCGUUUAUGACCAGACUUGGGCUUGGUUAAUCAUCUGGGGUUCUCCCCAGUGCACUUUUCCAGUCCAGGCCAGCAUCAGUUUUCCCCGGGGGAUAAAGGCUUCGGGAAUGUGGCUCUCUUCGGGGAGUGUUAUAGCCCGUUGUGUAAUACCCUGGGGGGGACUGAGGUUCGCGCAUCUGCAAGGAUGCUGGCGUAAUGGUCAUCAACGACCCGUCUUGAAACACGGACCAAGGAGUCGUCUUCGUAUGCGAGUGUUCGGGUGUCAAACCCCUACGCGUAAUGAAAGUGAACGCAGGUGAGAGCUUCGGCGCAUCAUCGACCGAUCCUGAUGUUCUCGGAUGGAUUUGAGUAAGAGCAUACGGGGCCGGACCCGAAAGAAGGUGAACUAUGCCUGUAUAGGGUGAAGCCAGAGGAAACUCUGGUGGAGGCUCGCAGCGGUUCUGACGUGCAAAUCGAUCGUCAAAUAUGGGCAUGGGGGCGAAAGACUAAUCGAACCUUCUAGUAGCUGGUUUCCGCCGAAGUUUCCCUCAGGAUAGCAGUGUUGAACUCAGUUUUAUGAGGUAAAGCGAAUGAUUAGGGACUCGGGGGCGCUAUUUAGCCUUCAUCCAUUCUCAAACUUUAAAUAUGUAAGAAGCUCUUGUUGCUUAAUUGAACGUGAGCAUUCGAAUGUAUCAACACUAGUGGGCCAUUUUUGGUAAGCAGAACUGGCGAUGCGGGAUGAACCGAACGCGAGGUUAAGGUGCCAGAGUAGACGCUCAUCAGACACCACAAAAGGUGUUAGUACAUCUUGACAGCAGGACGGUGGCCAUGGAAGUCGGAAUCCGCUAAGGACUGUGUAACAACUCACCUGCCGAAUGUACUAGCCCUGAAA
rnacentral:rRNA from 1 species